rnacentral:rRNA from 1 species
UCGGGAAUUUUGGGCAAUGGGGGCAACCCUGACCCAGCCACGCCGCGUGAGGGAUGAAGGCCUUCGGGUCGUAAACCUCUGUCGGGAGGGAAGAAAGGCGCCCGGGCGAACAGUCCGGGUACUUGACGGUACCUCCAAAGGAAGCACCGGCUAACUCCGUGCCAGCAGCCGCGGUAAUACGGAGGGUGCAAGCGUUGUUCGGAAUUACUGGGCGUAAAGCGCGUGUAGGCGGCUUGGUAAGUCGGGUGUGAAAGCCCGGGGCUCAACCCCGGAAAUGCACCCGAAACUGCCUCGCUCGAGUCCCGGAGAGGGUGGCGGAAUUUCCGGUGUAGAGGUGAAAUUCGUAGAUAUCGGAAGGAACACCAGUGGCGAAGGCGGCCACCUGGACGGUGACUGACGCUGAGACGCGAAAGCGUGGGGAGCAAACAGGAUUAGAUACCCCUGUAGUCC